GACGAACGCUGGCGGCGUGCCUAAUACAUGCAAGUCGAACGAGAGCGACCGGUGCUUGCACUGGUCAAUCUAGUGGCGAACGGGUGAGUAACACGUGGGUAACCUGCCCAUCAGAGGGGGAUAACAUCCGGAAACGGAUGCUAAAGCCGCAUAGGUCUUCGAGCCGCAUGGCUUGAAGAGGAAAAGAGGCGCAAGCUUCUGCUGAUGGAUGGACCCGCGGUGCAUUAGCUAGUUGGUGAGGUAACGGCUCACCAAGGCCGUGAUGCAUAGCCGACCUGAGAGGGUGAUCGGCCACAUUGGGACUGAGACACGGCCCAAACUCCUACGGGAGGCAGCAGUAGGGAAUCUUCCGCAAUGGACGCAAGUCUGACGGAGCAACGCCGCGUGAGUGAAGAAGGUGUUCGGAUCGUAAAACUCUGUUGUUAGAGAAGAACAAGUGCUAGAGUAACUGUUAGCGCCCUGACGGUAUCUAACCAGAAAGCCACGGCUAACUACGUG
rnacentral:rRNA from 1 species